AUUCGAACGCUGGCGGCAUGCCUUACACAUGCAAGUCGAACGGCAGCACGGGUGCUUGCACCUGGUGGCGAGUGGCGAACGGGUGAGUAAUACAUCGGAACGUACCUUAUCGUGGGGGAUAACGCAGCGAAAGCUGUGCUAAUACCGCAUACGCCCUGAGGGGGAAANCGGGGGAUCGAAAGACCUCGCGCGAUUAGAGCGGCCGAUGCCUGAUUAGCUUGUUGGUGGGGUAAAAAGCCCACCAAGGCGACGAUCAGUAGCUGGUCUGAGAGGACGAUCAGCCACACUGGGACUGAGACACGGCCCAGACUCCUACGGGAGGCAGCAGUGGGGAAUAUUGGACAAUGGGCGAAAGCCUGAUCCAGCCAUGCC
rnacentral:rRNA from 1 species